CAAACUCUCAAGUUCAAACUGCUUGUUCACUUUAAAUUCUUUUCUGUUUUUUCCUUCACAAUUUAGGGUGUUUCAGGGCAUGUUGAAGAAGUCACUAAUAUAAGAUCUGUUAGAAAGCCCAAGUUUGAAAGCUAUGCAUAUUUAAACUUUUACCUGGUAGUGUUUCUUUAGUCACAUCAUCCAAGCUGAACUUGGCUAUUUUUUAAAAAACUCAGAAUGAUAAUUUUCCUCUCCUUUCACUAAAUUCUCACAUAGGUAAUAUAAUUAUUUUAUUUACUUUAGUACCUUCAAAGAUCAUUACAAAUCUGCUAAGUUUUAAUUGUUCAUGAAGAUCGGUGAUGUGCAAACAAUCUCAAAUCUAUUUUCAUUCCCCACAAUUUGCAUUUUUAUGUUUCAGAUUUGCACGUGCAGCAAUAAGAUGCUAGAGCUGAUUGCUAAUUGCUUAAAUAUAUGAAGAAAUUUCAAGAGAGGCAGAACUACAAACAUUUUUCUGAAAGGCAAGUCCCAGAAGAGACCCAUGGAAAGGAAAUGGAAAAGAAAACAAAUGAGCUCCCACAACGAGUUAAGUCCAGAGGCCACAAUUAAAGGGAAAUAAUAACGACACCCAGAGAUCCUGGGCUCUAACAUAUCCUGGAAAGGAAGCCCAGGUCCCCAUACCUCUGAGGCAUCUUAUGUGGUAAUGAGGUGGAGGAG
rnacentral:lncRNA from 1 species